UACGUAGGGGGCAAGCGUUGUCCGGAUUUAUUGGGCGUAAAGAGCGUGUAGGCGGCUAGGUAGGUCCGUUGUGAAAACUCGAGGCUUAACCUCGAGAUGUCAUCGGAAACCAUUUGGCUAGAGUCCGGAAGAGGAGAGUGGAAUUCCUGGUGUAGCGGUGAAAUGCGCAGAUAUCAGGAAGAACACCAAUGGCGAAAGCAGCUCUCUGGGACGGUACUGACGCUGAGACGCGAAAGCGUGGGGAGCGAACAGG
rnacentral:rRNA from 1 species